AACGAACGCUGGCGGCAGGCUUAACACAUGCAAGUCGAACGCCCCGCAAGGGGAGUGGCAGACGGGUGAGUAACGCGUGGGAACAUACCCUUUCCUGCGGAAUAGCUCCGGGAAGCUGGAAUUAAUACCGCAUACGCCCUACGGGUGAAAGAUUUAUCGGGGAAGGAUUGGCCCGCGUUGGAUUAGCUAGUUGGUGGGGUAAAGGCCUACCAAGGCGACGAUCCAUAGCUGGUCUGAGAGGAUGAUCAGCCACAUUGGGACUGAGACACGGCCCAAACUCCUACGGGAGGCAGCAGUGGGGAAUAUUGGACAAUGGGCGCAAGCCUGAUCCAGCCAUGCCGCGUGAGUGAUGAAGGCCUUAGGGUUGUAAAGCUCUUUCACCGAUGAAGAUAAUGACGGUAGUCGGAGAAGAAGCCCCGGCUAACUUCGUGCCAGCCGCCGCGGUAACAC
rnacentral:rRNA from 1 species